GAUGAACGCUGGCGGCGUGCCUAAUACAUGCAAGUCGAGCGCACGGACGAGAAGCUUGCUUCUCUGAUGUUAGCGGCGGACGGGUGAGUAACACGUGGAUAACCUACCUAUAAGACUGGGAUAACUUCGGGAAACCGGAGCUAAUACCGGAUAAUAUUUUGAACCGCAUGGUUCAAAAGUGAAAGACGGUCUUGCUGUCACUUAUAGAUGGAUCCGCGCUGCAUUAGCUAGUUGGUAAGGUAACGGCUUACCAAAGCAACGAUGCAUAGCCGACCUGAGAGGGUGAUCGGCCACACUGGAACUGAGACACGGUCCAGACUCCUACGGGAGGCAGCAGUAGGGAAUCUUCCGCAAUGGGCGAAAGCCUGACGGAGCAACGCCGCGUGAGUGAUGAAGGUCUUCGGAUCGUAAAACUCUGUUAUUAGGGAAGAACAUAUGUGUAAGUAACUGUGCACACCUUGACGGUACCUAAUCAGAAAGCCACGGCUAACUACGUG
rnacentral:rRNA from 1 species